rnacentral:rRNA from 1 species
UACGUAGGGUGCAAGCGUUAAUCGGAAUUACUGGGCGUAAAGCGUGCGCAGGCGGUUGUGCAAGACCGAUGUGAAAUCCCCGGGCUUAACCUGGGAAUGGCAUUGUGACUGCACGGCUAGAGUGUGUCAGAGGGGGGGUAGAAUUCCACGUGUAGCAGUGAAAUGCGUAGAGAUGUGGAGGAAUACCGAUGGCGAAGGCAGCCCCCCUGGGAUAACACUGACGCUCAUGCACGAAAGCGUGGGGAGCAAACAGG